GUUUGAGGAAAGAAAGUGAAGACGCAGUGGUUUAAAGGUGUUUCCUUUCUUAGUACAGGAAGUUCAGAUCUGCUGCCACAAUCCAGUUCUCAGUCCAUGAAAGGACCUUCCCUCUUAUCCCAUGACAACUGGACCUGGGAGCUCUCUGAAAUUACUGGGGGUUGUUCUCUCAGCUGUUCUGCUCCACCUGUACAGGUUGACCUCCUUGCCAGAAAAGCCCCUGGCUAUUGAUUGGGUUUAUUACAAGACUGCAGUUGCUAAUGCUGGCAUGGUGGAUGAGUUUGAAAAGAAGUACAAUGCACUAAAGGUUCCUGAGCCUGUGGGGACACAAACAGACAAGAUACAUGCCCAGGAACAGGAAGCUAUUUGGAAGAAAACCGUUUUAUCUUUUGAGCACUGCCAGCCAACUGAAAAGUUAAUCACUUGCUGUAAAAACAUCACCUAGAUCUAAAGUUGUAUGAAGUUAACAAACUACCUUCCUGACCACUUGAAAAUUGCUGAGGGUCUCAGCGGACCACUUAAUGAUCUUUCCAAAUGUUGUUUGUACUGUUAGCUAACUAUUGUAAAGC